rnacentral:lncRNA from 1 species
UAAACAUGAAGUUGCCUACUUCAAUGCUUUUCAACACUAAACUUCAUAUGUUUAAAUAUGUCUAUUUUAUUUUACUUUUAUAUAUAGUAUUCAUCAAUGCCUUGUCAAUUUGAAGUUUUAUUUUCAAAUCUCGUGCUGGCAUCAUUAAAAAUGCUUUGAUCUUCGAAUUAUUAGCAUCAUUAAGAAGAUUUCAACUAUCACUUACAUCUCAGUAAUAAUUAAACUAACAAUGCUGUGAAACAUUGAAUGCAAAGGCUGCCUGUAAAGAGUAAUAUUGAAACAUAAACAAAGUAAAAACAUAUGAACAAAGAAAGUGGACAAUUAUCUAUUUGAUGUCAUUCGUGGGUUGGAGGUUGGUUGCUGUGGCUUCGUCAUUUUAUCCACCACUGUUUCUAUGUAACUUAUAAGCAGCUCUAUGCCUAUACUCAUAGAAUCAACCUGUUUUCUAACCUUGUUCAUCUGAGAAAACAGUGACAAUAGUUGAUUAUGGGAAGCCGAAAAGUGUUUGGUGGUGAAAGGGGCUCCGGGAUUGGAAGCUGCAGUAUUAUUUUCUUGGGAGCUCAUUUUAAGUAUGAA